rnacentral:rRNA from 1 species
UACGAAGGGUGCAAGCGUUAAUCGGAAUUACUGGGCGUAAAGCGUGCGUAGGUGGUUUGUUAAGUCUGCUGUGAAAGCCCUGGGCUCAACCUGGGAAUGGCGGUGGAUACUGACAAGCUAGAGUGCGGUAGAGGAGGGUGGAAUUCCCGGUGUAGCGGUGAAAUGCGUAGAGAUCGGGAGGAACAUCAGUGGCGAAGGCGGCCCUCUGGACCAGCACUGACGCUGAGGCACGAAAGCGUGGGGAGCAAACAGA